rnacentral:lncRNA from 1 species
AGAGAGGUUCUCUUUUGGAUGCAGGUUUUGAAAAGUUAGGGCACUGUAUUCGUGAAAAUCAGACCCGGGUUAGUUUUGAUUUAGCAAUGCACAAGUCGAAGGCUAGAAGUCUUCCAGCUUCUAAGCAUAGAUUCGACUCAGUUAAUUCCCUGCAUAGUUCAAGAUAGGCCCGUGGCGGGUUUUGGCAAAGAUGGCAUUGAAAGAAUUCGUGUCA